CGAAAGCCCGACGGAGCAAUACCGCGUGAGGGAAGACGGCCUAUGGGUUGUAAACCUCUUUUUUCAGGGAGGAACAAAAUGACGUGUACCUGAAGAAUAAGCAUCGGCUAACUCCGUGCCAGCAGCCGCGGUAAGACGGAGGAUGCAAGUGUUAUCCGGAAUUACUGGGCGUAAAGCGUCUGUAGGUGGUUUGGUAAGUCAACUGUUAAAUCUUGAGGCUCAACUUCAAAACAGCAGUCGAAACUAUCAGACUAGAGUAUAGUAGGGGUAAAGGGAAUUUCCAGUGGAGCGGUGAAAUGCGUAGAUAUUGGAAAGAACACCGAUGGCGAAGGCACUUUACUGGGCUAUUACUAACACUCAGAGACGAAAGCUAGGGGAGCA
rnacentral:rRNA from 1 species